AUGCAUUCGUCCGAUGGAUUGGUUUGCAGCGAUCGACCUGAAGGACGCGUACUUUCAUGUCUCCAUUCUUCCUCGACACAGACCGUUUCUUCGGUUUGCUUUCGAGGGGCAGGCAUAUCAGUACAAGGUUCUCCCAUUCGGGUUGGCCCUCUCUCCCCGCGUCUUUACGAAGGUUGCGGAGGGGGCCCUAGCUCCUCUCAGGGAACAGGGUGUCCGUAUCCUCAACUACCUCGACGACUGGCUGAUCCUAGCUCACUCUCGAGAGCGGUUGUGCGAGCACAGGGAUCUGGUGCUCAGACACCUCGCCCGACUGGGUCUUCAGGUCAACUGGGAAAAGAGCAAACUCUCCCCUGUGCAGAGGAUCUCUUUUCUCGGUAUGGAAAUAGACUCGGUCGCCAUGUUCGCGCAGCUUACAAACGAGCGCGCGCAGUCACUGCUGAGUUGCCUGAGACAAUUCGAGGGCAAGAGAGCGGUUCCACUGAAACUGUUUCAGAGGCUCCUGGGGCAUAUGGCGUCCGCGGCGGCAGUUAUACCGCUCGGGCUACUCCAUAUGAGACCGCUUCAGCACUGGCUUCACGACCGAGUCCCGAGAUGGGCAUGGCAACAGGGCACACUCCGAGUGACCAUCACUCCGGCCUGCCGUCGAUACUUCACCCCGUGGUUGGACCCCUCGUUUCUACGGGCCGGCGUGCCCCUAGAACCGGUGUCCAGACAUGUUGUUGUGUCAACAGAUGCCUCUGCCACGGGCUGGGGUGCCAUGUGCAAUGGGCAUGCUGCGUCAGGCUCCUGGCCAGGACCCCGACUUCAGUGGCAUGUCAAUUGCCUCGAGUUGCUAGCAGUACGUCUUGCUCUGCACCGCUUCAGGGCCCUGCUGAAGGACAAGCACGUUCUGGUCCGUACGGACAACACUGCGACCGUAGCGUACAUCAACCAUCAGGGUGGUCUACGCUCCCGCCGAAUGUCGCAACUCGCUCGCCAUCUCCUCCUGUGGAGUCACAAGCAUCUGAGGUCGCUUCGUGCCAUUCACAUUCCAGGCAGGCUCAAUCGUGCAGCCGACGAGCUCUCACGACAGCAGUCUCGCCCCGGGGAAUGGAGACUCCACCCCCAGUCGGUUCAGCUGAUUUGGGAACACUUCGGAGACGCCCAGGUAGACCUGUUUGCCUCUCCAGAAAAUUCCCACUGCCAGUUGUUUUACUCCCUGACCGAGGGCACCCUCGGCACGGACGCCCUGGCACACAGCUGGCCGCUGGGCCUGCGCAAGUAUGCGUUUCCCCCAGUGAGCCUUCUUGCACAGACGUUGUGCAAGAUCAGGGAGGACGAGGAGCAGGUCCUCAUGGUUGCGCCUUUUUGGCCCAGCCGGACCUGGUUCCCCGAACUUGUACUCCUCGCGACAGCCCCUCCCUGGCCAAUUACUCUGAGAAGGGACCUUCUUUCUCAGAGACGGGGCACCCUCUGGCACCCACGUCCCGAUCUAUGGAACCUACAUGUGUGGGUUCUGGACGGGUCACGGAAGGUUUAGGUACCUUGCCACCACAGGUGGUAGCUACCAUCACUUCAGCUAGAGCCGUGUCCACCAGACAUGCCUAUGCUUUGAAGUGGAACCUCUUCGUCACUUGGUGUUCUUCACGGCGUGAGGACCCCUGGAAGUGCCCGAUUGGGUCAGUGCUUUCCUUUCUUCAGGAGGGGUUGGAACGAAGGCUGUCUCCUUCCACCCUCAAGGUCUAUGUGGCUGCCAUUUCGGCUCACCAUGACCCUGUUGAAGGUAAGUCUCUUGGAAGGCACGAUCUGAUCAUCAGGUUCCUGAGAGGAGCAAGGAGGCUCAAUCCGCCUCGCCCUCAGCAAGUCCCCUCUUGGGACCUCGCAGUGGUUCUAUCAGCACUGCAGAGAGCUCCCUUCGAACCCUUGCUCUCAGUAGAGCUAAAGUUUUUAUCUUUGAAAACUGCGCUCCUGACGGCUUUGGCUUCGGUGAAGAGGGUCGGGGACCUGCAGGCAUUUUCAGUUGACGAAGCGUGCCUGGAAUUCGGGCCGGCUAACUCUCACGUUAUCUUGAGACCCCGGCCUGGGUACGUGCCCAAAGUUCCCACCACUCCUUUUAGGGAUCAGGUGGUGAACUUGCAAGCGCUGCCCCUGGAGGAGGCAGACCCAGCCCUGGCGCUGCUCUGUCCAGUACGUGCGCUCCGCACCUACGUGGACAGAACUCGGUGCCUUAGGACCUCAGACCAGCUCUUUGUCUGUUACGGAGGCCAGCAGAAGGGAAAGGCUGUCUCCAAGCAGAGGUUAUCCCACUGGAUAGUGGAUGCUAUUGUCCUGGCUUAUCAGGCUCGAGACCUGCCAUGCCCCCUAGGGGUGAGAGCUCACUCAACUAGGAGCGUAGCUGCCUCCUGGGCGCUGGCGCAUGGCGCCUCGCUAGCAGACAUCUGUAGAGCUGCGGGCUGGGCGACACCUAACACAUUCGCAAGAUUUUAUAAUCUCCGUGUAGAGCCCGUGUCCUCCCGGAUACUCGCCCCUUCGGGCCAGUAA
ensembl:lncRNA